rnacentral:rRNA from 1 species
UACGUAGGGGGCAAGCGUUGUCCGGAAUCAUUGGGCGUAAAGAGCGUGUAGGCGGCUCGAUAAGUCUGCUGUGAAAGUCCAGGGCUCAACCCUGGAAGGCCGGUGGAAACUGUCGGGCUAGAGUUCGGAAGAGGCGAGUGGAAUUCCCGGUGUAGCGGUGAAAUGCGCAGAUAUCGGGAGGAACACCAACGGCGAAGGCAGCUCGCUAGGACGGUACUGACGCUGAGACGCGAAAGCGUGGGGAGCGAACAGG